GCAUCCCGGUGUCGGUGUCCCCCUGAGAGGUGCCCUUCUCGUAUUUGGGUCCCCGGUGCCAGCCCAGUUCUCAUCGACAGGAGAGAAGGCCGUGCGCAGACUCGGUGGAUGUUAGACAGCCUCAGGGACGCGACGAAAGACAAAACCAAGAGAAGUUUCCAUAUUGUUCUAUCCAGAAGAGCCAAGAGUCCUCACCGUUCUGGACGGUGUUGCUGUUGGGGUGUGGAGUCCUGGCUCAGAGCCCCUCAUUCCUGUCCACCUGCGGCUGUCACCUUCGCGAUGGUUCUGCAGGGCUGCGAGCUCUUGACCAUCUCAUCGCAUCUCCCAGAGCAGCUGGGCCGGAGCACUGAUGUGUCCAACAAGGUUUCAUUUCACACGAGGGAGAAAUACUUGUCGAAAGAUCUCCAAACUGGGCGGGAGCAUGGACGCUUCUGCCCCUCUGUUCCUUCCUGCCCAGGGCGGGUAGCAUGGUCGACAGUCCAGCACGGCCCCUCCACAUCGGUGCUGGACACCCAGUCCACUCACCGAGCGUCUUCUUCUUUCCUUUGCUAACCCCACAUCACUCUAUUACUCUGUAAUUUGUUUUUAUGCUAAAUAACGUGUUUGGGACAAUUUUCCCGGGCUGCGCAUACACACCAGCUGCUGGUCAUUCUGGAGAUACCCCUCCAUCUAUUUGUCUUUAAGUUUUUCUGUUAAACUGUUUUUUCCCAUGGAAAGAAUACAUGCAUAUGGUUA